rnacentral:lncRNA from 1 species
GGUUGUAUUUUAGCCUUGGCGCCAGUCUGUUUUUGCUCUCUUGCCAACUCCUUAUGGAAUUGUCUACAAUGCCAAAAAGCAUAAACAAAUCUGAGACCAAGCUAGUUUUGUUCAUGUAGUUUAAGAGAAAUGUAAUCUAAAUGGAUGUGUUUGGUGGGGGUUGCAAAGUGCUUUUAGCAUUGAUUUGUAGCUGUGUAGAAUAGUAAACAUAGUUGCACAAAUGUUGUAGAUUAAAAUCUCAAAGGAAGCAGAUGAAUUCCAGACGUUUUAAUGGCCACUAUUUUAGAAUUCUACUAAUGUGCAGGGCCAUUCCAAUAGAAUUCAGAAUGAUUUCCAAAUGAUUGUUUCCAUAGAGACAUUACAAACCAAGAGUGUAUAAAAAUAUUGUUUUAAUUCAAAUAAGCAAAGUGUUGAUUCACUGAAAGACAUGGAGGUGGUUCAGCCCUAUGCAGAGACAUAUCUUAUGAAGCUGACAUUCUAUGCAGAAGACGAUCCUGCCUUCAAUUUAGAUUUCAUGAAGGAAACAUACUCCUACUCAACAUACACAGCGACAGUGCGACUGACCAAUACAGCGGAGAAGCCUCUGACACAGCAGAACCUGCAGUGUGUGGCCCUCAGCCUACCAGACCUCCACUACCGUCUCACAGGCCAUCCUUAUGCCUCGGGUCUCCUCCACCUUGCCCACCUCCAGACAGACCCUCUACCCCUGGACUAUAGCCCUCCAGCUAGACCAACCCUGGAUCCCAGAAAGCAGACAUGGGACAGUGUCUCUCUGGAACAUUCCACUAUUCCCCUGACCGAGACCUCUCUUCCGGAGGGCCAGUUCCAUGGCUCUCAAGGGGAUAGCGAGAGCAGCAGUAUCACUGACUGGUUCCUCUGUGACGGGUCAUUUGUGCCAGACUUCCCAGGGAAGGAGUGGACCUCUGUGAACUACGGAGGCCUAGAGUUUAUAAGGGCUUUCUCCCCAAUCAGACAGACUGACAAUGCAGCUGAUAUACUGGGAAGGUGUAAUAUCACCGAUUACACUGCUUACGAUCAGUUUGUCUUCUCUGUUGAUGUGGACAUCCUCAAGGCAAAAGAUCCUUCAGGAACAGAGGAAUCUAGUCCUGCCUCCAAAAUGUUAGAAGAGAAUAGUUUAGAAAGAGAGAAAGCUAGUCCCGCCUCCAAAAGGGAAGAGGGGAAUAGUUUUGUAAAAGAAUAGUUUAGAGGGGAAUAGUUUAGAGAGAAUGCUAGUUCUGCCUACACAUGGGAAGAGAUGAAUCAUUUAGACAGAGAGGACACUAGUCCCACCAACGAAUGGGAAGAGCAGAAUAGUUUAGGAAGAGAGGACCCUAGUCCCACCUACAAAAGAAAAGACAGCAAUAGUUUAGGAAUAGAGGCCACUAGUUUUGCCUACAAAGGGGAAGAGGGGAAUCGUUUCAGGAGAAAGGCUGUUAGUUCCCCCUACAUAAAAAAAAGAGAGGACAAAGUACCUGGAUGUACAGAAGCGAGGACCAAACCGAAGACAGGGAAGAAAGAUAACUAAAUGAUCCUUAAGGCUUUUAUAUGGCCAGACUAUGAAAGUUUAGAUGUGAUUCAAAGUAUUUUAUGUAGCUUCAGGCAAAGCCUCCUACAUCCAAAAAGGCACAAUCACUGAAUGCAUGGUUUCAAUGUUUUUACAAUAAAACAGAACGACACC